UAGCCAGUCCUUGCCUGUUGCUGAGACUGAGGGGCAGAGGACCAGAUCUUUGUUAACUCAUUUCUCCUAUAUGUGGCUGUUGUGACAUGCUCAGACCAUGAUGCUGACACUUCCCAUGGUUUAUCACAGGCACCAUCCUCCUCAAAGCUCUCGAAAGGACACUCCCUACAUCCCAGGCAAGGCUUGAGCUGCCA